CCCUACUCCUACGGGGAGGCAGCAGUAGGGAAUCUUCCGCAAUGGGCGAAAGCCUGACGGAGCAAUGCCGCGUGAGUGAUGAAGGUUUUCGGAUCGUAAAGCUCUGUUGCCAGGGAAGAACGCUUGGGAGAGUAACUGCUCUCAAGGUGACGGUACCUGAGAAGAAAGCCCCGGCUAACUACGUGCCAGCAGCCGCGGUAAUACGUAGGGGGCAAGCGUUGUCCGGAAUUAUUGGGCGUAAAGCGCGCGCAGGCGGUCAUUUAAGUCUGGUGUUUAAUCCCGGGGCUCAACCCCGGAUCGCACUGGAAACUGGGUGACUUGAGUGCAGAAGAGGAGAGUGGAAUUCCACGUGUAGCGGUGAAAUGCGUAGAUAUGUGGAGGAACACCAGUGGCGAAGGCGACUCUCUGGGCUGUAACUGACGCUGAGCGCGAAUUGCUACCAAA
rnacentral:rRNA from 1 species